GACGAACGCUGGCGGCGUGCCUAACACAUGCAAGUCGAACGGAAAGGCCCUGCUUUUGUGGGGUGCUCGAGUGGCGAACGGGUGAGUAACACGUGAGUAACCUGCCCUUGACUUUGGGAUAACUUCAGGAAACUGGGGCUAAUACCGGAUAGGAGCUCCUGCUGCAGGGGGGGGGUUGGAAAGUUUCGGCGGUGGGGGAUGGACUCGCGGCUUAUCAGCUUGUUGGUGGGGUAGUGGCUUACCAAGGCUUUGACGGGUAGCCGGCCUGAGAGGGUGGCCGGCCACAUUGGGACUGAGAUACGGCCCAGACUCCUACGGGAGGCAGCAGUGGGGAAUAUUGCACAAUGGGCGGAAGCCUGAUGCAGCAACGCCGCGUGCGGGAUGACGGCCUUCGGGUUGUAAACCGCUUUCGCCUGUGACGAAGCGUGAGUGACGGUAAUGGGUAAAGAAGCACCGGCUAACUACGUG
rnacentral:rRNA from 1 species